rnacentral:rRNA from 1 species
AAACCAACAGGGAUUGCCUCAGUAGCGGCGAGUGAAGCGGCAAGAGCUCAGAUUUGAAAUCGUGCUUUGCGGCACGAGUUGUAGAUUGCAGGUUGGAGUCUGUGUGGAAGGCGGUGUCCAAGUCCCUUGGAACAGGGCGCCCAGGAGGGUGAGAGCCCCGUGGGAUGCCGGCGGAAGCAGUGAGGCCCUUCUGACGAGUCGAGUUGUUUGGGAAUGCAGCUCCAAGCGGGUGGUAAAUUCCAUCUAAGGCUAAAUACUGGCGAGAGACCGAUAGCGAACAAGUACUGUGAAGGAAAGAUGAAAAGCACUUUGAAAAGAGAGUGAAACAGCACGUGAAAUUGUUGAAAGGGAAGGGUAUUGCGCCCGACAUGGGGAUUGCGCACCGCUGCCUCUCGUGGGCGGCGCUCUGGGCUUUCCCUGGGCCAGCAUCGGUUCUUGCUGCAGGAGAAGGGGUUCUGGAACGUGGCUCUUCGGAGUGUUAUAGCCAGGGCCAGAUGCUGCGUGCGGGGACCGAGGACUGCGGCCGUGUAAGUCACGGAUGCUGGCAGAACGGCGCAACACCGC